AGAUAAUGAGUUUGAAUAAGCUUAUAUUUUGAAAAUAUAUUAUAGAAUUUUUAAUAUUCUAUUAUCUU
rnacentral:tRNA from 1 species